UACGGAAGGGGCUAGCGUUGUUCGGAAUUACUGGGCGUAAAGCGUACGUAGGCGGCUUUGUAAGUUAGAGGUGAAAGCCCGGGGCUCAACCCCGGAAUUGCCUUUAAGACUGCAUCGCUUGAAUCGCGGAGAGGUGAGUGGAAUUCCGAGUGUAGAGGUGAAAUGCGUAGAUAUCGGGAGGAACACCAGUGGCGAAGGCGACUUCCUGGCCUGUUCUUGACGCUGAGGCGCGAAAGCUAGGGGAGCAAACGGG
rnacentral:rRNA from 1 species